rnacentral:rRNA from 1 species
UAAAUCAGCUAUGGUUUAUUGGAUCGUACCCGUUAAAUGGAUAACUGUAAUAACUCUAGAGCUAAUACAUGCCACGAAGCCCUGACCUGUGUCCUGCAUGGGGAUGGGUGCACUUAUUAGAUCAGAAACCAACCGAGCUCUGUUCGCAGGGCUUGUUGUCGUUCUGGUGACUCUGGAUAAUUGUUACAGAUCGCAGUCGGCCUUGCGUCGGCGACGGGUCCUUCAAAUGUCUGCCCUAUCAACUUUCGAUGGUAGGUGAUCUGCCUACCAUGGUGAUAACGGGUAACGGGGAAUCAGGGUUCGAUUCCGGAGAGGGAGCCUGAGAAACGGCUACCACUUCCAAGGGAGGCAGCAGGCGCGCAAAUUACCCACUCCCGGUACGGGGAGGUGGUGACGAAAAAUACCGAUGCGGGACUCUUCAAGAGGCUCCGUAAUCGGAAUGAGUGAACUCUAAAUCCUUUCACGAGGAUCAAUUGGAGGGCAAGUCUGGUGCCAGCAGCCGCGGUAACUCCAGCUCCAAUAGCGUAUAUUAAAGUUGCUGCAGUUAAAAAGCUCGUAGUUGGAUCUCGGUAUCACUGUUGCCUGCCAUUGCUUGGCCAGCUGGAUGCCGGGUGAUGCGGCUGAGUGCUGUGUCGCCUUGGUGUUCGACUGUUGCCUAGUUGGUCUGGUAGCGGUGCCACCUUUUAGCCAUGUCUGUGGUGAAAUACCCACAGGUGUAGGCAAGUGUCAGGCGGUGCUCUACAGCUGUAGGGUCCGUCGGCUCGUCUGCAUGCCUUUGGAUGCCCUUCAAAAGGUGUCUGUGGGCGGAUGGCACGUUUACUUUGAACAAAUUUGAGUGCUCAAACCAGGCCGUUGUAGCCUGAAAAGUUUUGCAUGGAAUAAUGGAAUAGGACUUCGGUUCUAUUUUGUUGGUUUUCGGAUCCGAAGUAAUGAUCAAAAGAGACAGGCGGGGACGUUUGUAUGGUUGCGCUAGAGGUGAAAUUCAUGGACCGUAACCAGACAGACUAAAGCGAAAGCAUUCGUCAAGCAUGUUUUCAUUGGCCAUGAGCGAAAGUCAGAGGCUCGAAGACGAUCAGAUACCGUCCUAGUUCUGACCAUAAACGAUGCCAACUGACGAUCCGUGGUGGUAGUUUAAUAACCGUCCCCACGGGCAGCCCCCGGGAAACCUUUAAGUCUAUGGGUUCCGGGGGAAGUAUGGUUGCAAAGCUGAAACUUAAAGGAAUUGACGGAAGGGCACCACCAGGAGUGGAGCCUGCGGCUUAAUUUGACUCAACACGGGAAAACUCACCCGGGCCGGACACUGUGAGGAUUGACAGAUUGACAGCUCUUUCUUGAUUUGGUGGUUGGUGGUGCAUGGCCGUUCUUAGUUGGUGGAGCGAUUUGUCUGGUUAAUUCCGAUAACGAACGAGACUCUAGCCUGCUAAUUAGUGCGCCUGUCCUCUGUUCCUGUGUAGGCGGCUUUUGGCGCUACUGCCUUAUUAUGCGAGGCUGUUCGUGCUGUCGCUCAUGGUCGUCCAUCUGCUUGGUCGGCUUCGUUGUCGACGCUAGUCGGCGCCCUCCGGUGCUGGCUACGCGUUGACGACGGUCGGCCUCCUUGGUGGGUGGAUUGGCUUGGGUGGCUGGUGCGGCGGCUUAGUUUAGGCGGUGGAGUCGGGGUUUGCUUCCGGGUACGGCGCAGGUGUCUACUUCUUAGAGGGACAAGCAUAUACAAGUGCACGAGAUUGAGCAAUAACAGGUCUGUGAUGCCCUUAGAUGUCCGGGGCCGCACGCGCGCUACAAUGACGGUGCCAACGAGUCUGACCUCCUGGCCCGAAAGGGUUGGGCAAACUGGUCAAUCACCGUCAUGUCAGGGAUCGGGGCUUGGAAUUGUUCCCCGUGAACCAGGAAUUCCUAGUAAGUGCAAGUCAUAAGCUUGCGCUGAUUACGUCCCUGCCCUUUGUACACACCGCCCGUCGCUACUACCGAUUGAAUGGUUUAGUAAGGUCCUUGGAUCGGUGCCAUUGCAGUGGCUACCGCAAGGUAUGUCCACUCGACAGGCGCUGAGAAGACGACCAAACUUGAUCAUUUAGAGGAAGUAAA